GAUGAACGCUGGCGGCGUGCCUAAUACAUGCAAGUCGAACGCACAGCGAAAGGUGCUUGCACCUUUCAAGUGAGUGGCGAACGGGUGAGUAACACGUGGACAACCUGCCUCAAGGCUGGGGAUAACAUUUGGAAACAGAUGCUAAUACCGAAUAAAACUCAGUGUCGCAUGACACAAAGUUAAAAGGCGCUUUGGCGUCACCUAGAGAUGGAUCCGCGGUGCAUUAGUUAGUUGGUGGGGUAAAGGCCUACCAAGACAAUGAUGCAUAGCCGAGUUGGGAGACGGAUCGGCCACAUUGGGACUGAGACACGGCCCAAACUCCUACGGGAGGCUGCAGUAGGGAAUCUUCCACAAUGGGCGAAAGCCUGAUGGAGCAACGCCGCGUGUGUGAUGAAGGCUUUCGGGUCGUAAAGCACUGUUGUAUGGGAAGAACAGCUAGAAUAGGGAAUGAUUUUAGUUUGACGGUACCAUACCAGAAAGGGACGGCUAAAUACGUGCCAGCCGCCGCCGUAA
rnacentral:rRNA from 1 species